rnacentral:rRNA from 1 species
AACAAGGUCUCCGUUGGUGAACCAGCGGAGGGAUCAUUAUCGAGUUAUUCAACUCCCAAACCCUAUGUGAACUUACCACUUGUUGCUUCGGCGCGCGCUUCGGCGCCGCCGAGGACACUUAAACUCUUUGUUUUUAUAAGCAUUUCUGAGUGGCCGAAAGGCAAAAAUACAAAUGAAUCAAAACUUUCAACAACGGAUCUCUUGGUUCUGGCAUCGAUGAAGAACGCAGCGAAAUGCGAUAAGUAAUGUGAAUUGCAGAAUUCAGUGAAUCAUCGAAUCUUUGAACGCACAUUGCGCCCGCCAGCAUUCUGGCGGGCAUGCCUGUUCGAGCGUCAUUUCAACCCUCGAGCCCGACUCUUUUGAGGACGGCUCGGCGUUGGGGGACGGCAGACUCCCCCCGGCAUCUCGCCGGGGACGCCGCCCCCGAAAUCUAGUGGCGGCCCUCCGAGGCGACCUCUGCGUAGUAACUUGUUCUCGCACCGGAAAGCUCAGAGCGGCCACGCCGUAAAACCCCAACUUUUUUCAGGUUGACCUCGAAUCAGGUAGGACUACCCGCUGAACUUAAGCAUAUCAAUAAGCGGAGGAAAU